rnacentral:rRNA from 1 species
GAAACCAACAGGGAUUGCCCCAGUAACGGCGAGUGAAGCGGCAACAGCUCAAAUUUGAAAUCUGGCCCCCAGGGUCCGAGUUGUAAUUUGUAGAGGAUGCUUUUGGCGCGGCGCCUUCCGAGUUCCCUGGAACGGGACGCCAUAGAGGGUGAGAGCCCCGUCUGGUUGGAUGCCUAGCCUCUGUAAAGCUCCUUCGACGAGUCGAGUAGUUUGGGAAUGCUGCUCUAAAUGGGAGGUAUAUGUCUUCUAAAGCUAAAUACCGGCCAGAGACCGAUAGCGCACAAGUAGAGUGAUCGAAAGAUGAAAAGCACUUUGAAAAGAGGGUUAAAUAGUACGUGAAAUUGUUGAAAGGGAAGCGCUUGUGACCAGACUUGGGCCCGGUUAAUCAUCCAGCGUUCUCGCUGGUGCACUUUGCCGGCCCAGGCCAGCAUCAGUUCGCCCUGGGGGAUAAAGGCUUCGGGAACGUGGCUCCCUCGGGAGUGUUAUAGCCCGUUGCGUAAUACCCUGCGGCGGACUGAGGUUCGCGCUCCGCAAGGAUGCUGGCGUAAUGGUCAUCAGCGACCCGUCUUGAAACACGGACCAAGGAGUCGUCUUCGUAUGCGAGUGUUCGGGUGUCAAACCCCUACGCGUAAUGAAAGUGAACGCAGGUGAGAGCUUCGGCGCAUCAUCGACCGAUCCUGAUGUUCUCGGAUGGAUUUGAGUAAGAGCAUACGGGGCCGGACCCGAAAGAAGGUGAACUAUGCCUGUAUAGGGUGAAGCCAGAGGAAACUCUGGUGGAGGCUCGCAGCGGUUCUGACGUGCAAAUCGAUCGUCAAAUAUGGGCA